rnacentral:sRNA from 1 species
GCUGGGUGUGGUGAUUCACACCUGUAAUCCCAGCAACUCAGGAGGCUGAGGCAGGAGGAUCAUCAAGUUCAAGGCCAGCCUCAG